rnacentral:rRNA from 1 species
AAAUUGAAGAGUUUGAUCAUGGCUCAGAUUGAACGCUGGCGGCAGGCCUAACACAUGCAAGUCGAGCGGAAACGAGUUGUCUGAACCUUCG